GCCGAGGUUGUACUCUGCUGUCCGCGCGUCCUCUUGCCGGGUUUCCUGGUGUGUAGAUCCCGGCGCGCCCCUGCCCUCUCGGCCAUGGGGGUCCCCAAGAGGAAGGCCGCGGGCGGCCAGGACAGUACGGCUCUCCGCGCGGGCGCAGCCAAGCGGCCCCGCUCCGAAGAGCUCACGGGCGUGCGCUUCAAGGCUGAGCUGCGGGGUCCGCAGGGCGCGGAGCCGGCCUUGGAAGCAUUUGUCGCUGCUGCCAAGAAGCUACCGAGGGAAGACGUGUAUGAUGUUGUGGAAGGGUACAUAAAGAUUUCGGUUGAAUGUGCAGAGAUUUUCCAGCUCCUGAGCGGGGAGAAGCGGCCGGAAAGUGAAACACUAUUAAUAUUUCAAGUUUUUGAGGCCAUACUAUUGCGGACAGCGAGCGACCUUUCCCAUUUUCAUGUUGUGGGAACCAACAUCGUGAAAAAGCUGCUGAACAGCCACAUGAAGCUCAUCUGUGAGUCCCUGUAUGCCUCGGGCUACAGGAUGGCUCGAGCCUGUCUCAACCUGAUGGCCGCCAUGGUGACCCAGGGUCCUGAGGCCGCCAGGGACGUCUGCAGCCAUUUUGAUUUGAAUAAAAAGACCUUGUACACCCUGGCGACCAAGAGGGAUUCAAAGGGUGUGCACGACGUCCGGCUGGCCUACAUUCAGUUCGCCCUCUCCUUUCUGAUCGCCGGUGAUGACAGCACGAUAGCACAGGUGCUGGAGUUGAAAGAAUUUAUUCCUUGCAUUUUUAGCUCGGGCAUAAAGGAAGACAGGAUUUCUACCGUCAAUAUUUUGUUAUCCACGCUGAAAACAAAGGUAGUUCACAAUAAAAAUAUCACAAAAACCCAGAAGGUGCGUUUCUUUACGGGGCAGUUGUUGAACCAUAUAGCAGCUCUCUACAGCUGGAAUGGGAUUGUUGACGUGAACCUGGAACAUGGCAAGACUUCUUCUGAGGACGCAGGGAAGAUCCUGGUGAGGGAGCUUGUUCACACCUUCCUGAUGGAUCUUUGCUGUUCGCUCAAGCAUGGGAUUAAUUUUUACGACGCAUCUUUCGGUACCAUCGGCAGAGGCGGGAACCUGACCCUCCUGCACUUCCUGUUGGGUUUGAAAACUGCAGCAGACGACGAGCUGGUGGCCGAGCUGGUGGUGAACAUCCUCAAAGUGUGCCCGGACUUGCUGAACAAGUACUUCAAGGAAGUAACAUUUUCCUUUCUGCCCAGAGCGAAGUCCACUUGGUCAAAUAACAUCAAACUACUGAACAAGAUCUAUGAAGCCCAGCCAGAUGUUUCCCGGGCCUUUCAGACCAGAGAGUUCGUCCCCUUGCCUCGGCUCCUGGCAAUGGUGAUGGUGACCACCGUGCCCCUGGUGUGCAAUAAGACGAUGUUCACCCAGGCAUUAAAUUUGGACAGCAUAUCAGUGAAACACACAGCCUUGUCCCUUGUUUCCGUCAUUUUGAAAAGAGCAUUAAAAACGAUCGAGCACUGCCUGAAUAAAGAGACGUGGCAGGAAUUAGGCGUGUACACAGCCGCAGCGAUAGAAGAGUUCGUGCGCCUCUUCAGAGAAGCCCUGAGCAAGGUCUUACCAGACCUGAACACCAUCGUGUGGGUCUGGCAGUCACUUCGAAAGCAGGAGACAAAACAGGAUGAUGAGAAAGGAAAGAAAAGGGGCAUCCAGACUCCUGCUGCCUGCGUGGCUCCCCAGUGCGAUGAUGCGGAAACCAUUCUUCUGAAGGCUGUUCUGCUCCAGGUCAUAUGCCUGUACCAGAAGGUGGUCCCACACGUGGUCCUGCAGUACAACUUCGACUUCAGCAAGCUCCUGAAAGGAGUCAUCUCCGAGCAGGGCCUUCGAGAGGAGGUGCCUCCCAUUCUGCAGCACCACAUCCUGAAGGUGGCCCUGGAGCUGCCCGCCAGCAAGUUCUUGUGGUUAAAGGCACAGGAAGGCCCAGAGGCAGAAAUUAUUGGAGGAGAACGAUCUGUGUUUUACUUGCUGAUGAAAAUGUUCGUGACCAGUAGCCAUCUACAGCUCAAGUCAUCCACCAAACUUCUGAUCACAAAGAUUCUUCGGGACACGGGGGUGUUUGAGCACACCUGGAAGGAGCUGGAGCUGUGGCUGGAGCACUUACAGGACACCGUGGAAGAGAAGAGAGAAACCGUGAUUCAGUUUUUGGAACGCGUUUUACUGACAUUGGUGGCGAAUCCCUAUUCCUACACAGACAAAGCAUCUGACUUUGUCCAGGAAGCCAGCACACUGCAGGCCGCGGGGACGAAGCAGGAGGCUGAUGAUGUCAGCAUUCCGGUCUCCCACAUCGAUGAUGUUCUUGACAUGGUGGACGUCCUGGUGGAGGACAGCGAAGGCUUAGAUGAGGAAAUUGGAUUCUUACUGAACGAAGACAUGAUCCUGCUCACGUUCCCUUUCAGUGCGGUGGUCCCUGCGGCCCUGGAAGCCAGGAAUAAGUUGCUCCUUGGGACGGAAAGUGAAACAGGAGAGAGCAUCGUGGCUUAUGUGACGGCGGUGCUGACAGACCUCCUCCACACCCAGAGGGACCCGCUGGCUCUGUGUCUGCUGCUUCAGGCUUAUGACAAGUUGGAGCCUCCGGUGCCACCCUGCUGCCGCCAGCUCUGUCGGUUCCACACGUACUACAGCCGCUGGAUCCCAGAGCCAGUCCGCGAGGCCUUGCCCUUUCAGACGCCGGGCAGUCUCGCCCCCCAGGGUCCUCCGGCCUCUUCCUUCUCCGCCCUGUUGCAGACGGCCUACGAGAGCGAGGGUGCGCUCCUGGACGAGCAGGUUCAGGCGCGGCUGCGGGCCGCCCUCCCGCACCUCCCGAUGCACCAGGUCCUGCGCUCGGCGAAGCACCUGCUGCUCUACAUCAGGAGCACCGUGGAGACCUUCGGCCAGCUGGGCCGAAGCGCAGGGCCCCCCGUCCUGCAGCUCCUCCUGGACCUCCUCAGGCUUCUGGUCGUCCACUGUGCGCAGCUGGACGCGCAGAACCAGCAGAAACGCGAGGCCGCCCAGGCCGAAUCCGACCUCUUUUUGGACGUGGAGUCCGUGGCCUCGCUGGAGCUGGCCAGUGACAAGACGCUGGAGGAGGUGCUGGUGGCCAUCCUCAGACAUCCCACGCUGGAGGGCUGGUACCUGGCCCUGGAGCGACGGGCCCUCCCUCCGCACACCCUCAGCCCCAUCCUCGUGAAGCUCCUGGCGGCCCAGCUCGGUGCGGGGGUCCUGCAGCUGCUGCUGGCGAGCGCCCCGAUCCUCCGGAGCAUCCGUCAGCUGGGCCUCCUGGCCGGGUACUCGGAGGCCAUCACCCGGAGCGUGUUGAACGAGCUGCAGAACAGGAGGGCGGGCCGGGCCACGUCUCGGGCAGAGACCCUCCCGCAGCUGGAGGCCCUGCAGGAGCUGCAUCUGUACAUGGAGGGCGCCCAGCUCCGUGAGGUCACCCUGGCUUUGCUGAGCCUGCCCGAGGCCCAGCUGGUGGCCCCGGGACCCCCGAAGUCCCCCGGGAAGGAGAGACACCUGAACGCUCUCGGCAAGACCCUGGUCCAGCUGUUGACCCGCAGCCCCCAGGAUCAGCUGCAGAGCAGCGAGCUCCUUUGGGCCUCUGAGUUUGUGAAAGGCCUGGGGGCUUUGCUCCCCACAUUGGCCGUGGACGAGCUGGAUGCCGUGUUUCUCCACACUCUACAGAGAGAGCCCGUGCUGGUCCCCGUGGUCGGGGUCGACGUGCUGGACUACUGCCUGGCCCGGCAGACGCAGGUGGCCCUCAGCACCGCCGCCCUACUCGUGCGGCUGAGCUCCACCCACCUGCUGCGGUUUGAGCUGUGGUGCGGGCGGCCCGGCUCGGGACUCUGCCUCCAGGAAGGCCUCGACGACUUCCUCCCCCUCGUCCACGUGUACCUCCGGUGCAGGACGUGGGGACGCUUCACACGCCCGGCGGGAGUGUCCUCUGCUGUCAUUCCCGUCUUGAGGAAAGCUCUGUGGAGGCAGCUACAGACCAGGCUUCUCAGUGCGGAUGGGGCCCCAGGGUCUGGGCUGCAUCACGAGGUCCUGGCCCAGCUGGUCCCGUUUGCAAGAGCCAAGGACCUUGGUAUCCUCAUGGACCGUUUGCCUAGCCUGCUUCAGACCCCAGGCAGGCACGAGAGCUGGAGCGUGGCCGACUCUGUGUCUGCAGUCCUGGACGGGUCGGCAGAAGAGCUGCGUGCCUGGAGAAGGACUCUGUUGGCGUCCUGUGUAAAGUGGCUGGUCGUGUCUUUCAGUGGUGACCAGCAAGGCCGGGACGGCACCCAGGAUCAGGAGAGGCAGAUGCUGCUGAGAUUUAGUGAGCUGUUGAAUUUCCUUAAUGAAGUGGAUCCUGGAGAUUGGCAGAAAUUUGUGAAGACUGGACUCAAAUUUCGGUAUCAGGACCACAUGUUUUUAAAGGCCCUCCAUGCUGCCAUACAACGCCUGUACCUUCCGGAAAACUCCGUGUGCACGCAGCUCACCCAGCUUCCAGCGAUCCACAUGAUGCUCACACAGCAUUCUCUGUUUUUGCCGACUCUACUCAAGUCUGAAGAAGAGGAAAACCCAGACAGUCAAGUAAAAGAAGCGCUGGUGGAUCUGAUGUCAGUGGUGGUAAAGCUGUGUCCCUCUGUCUGUGAAAGCAGUCACUUUUCAGUGCUCCUUGGGGCCUAUGGCGCCACUCUCAGUGUCCUGGACCAGAAGAUUCUGCUUCUCCUCCGGGCGUAUGAACAGAACGACCUCAGCCUUGUGCACUUCAGAGUGCUGCUGUGGGGCCCAGUGGCUGUGGAGCAUCACAAGACGUGCCGGAGUCUGGGCAAGUCGCUGUGGCAGCAGCCGAGCGUCGGGGACAUCCUCCGCCUGCUGGAUCGGGACCGGAUGAUGAAGACCAUCCUCCACUUCCCCCAGAACCGGAGGCUGCUGCCCCCUGAGGAUGGACAGGAACUGAUCUUCAAAGACAGGAGCACAGUGGAUCUAGAUGGCCUUUAUGACCCCUGCUUUCUCCUGCAUCUCUUCAGUGAAUUGACCAGGCCAGAAUUUGUGGUAGAUUGUCGAAAAUUUUUGGACUCCAAUUCUCUGGGCCUAACCGUCGCGGCCCUCAGCAGCUAUGACCCCCAGAUGCGAGCUGCGGCCUAUUACGUCCUGGCGGCCUACUACUCGCAGCUGGAGGGGGCACGGUUCCGAGAGCAGCCCCAGCUACUUUACCUGUUGGAUGUAGUCCGGAAUGGGAUCCGAACUCAGAACAUGAGACUCACCUUUACCUUGACUCUCUUCAUUGCCAAAGCAGCCCUGCAGAUUUUGAAACCAGAGGAACACAUGUACCUGAAGAUCAGCAAGUUCCUGCUGUCACACGAGUACUUGAAUAUGAACAAGGUUCCAGGCUUCUACCAGUUCUUCUUCAGCUCAGACUUUGAGCAAAAGACGGAACAGGAAUGGGUGUUCGGGAUCCUGCGGCAGGGGAUGCGGGACAAACACUGCUAUGAGCUCUACGCCCGGCGAGGGGUCUUCCACACCAUCCUGGCCUUCUUCAGCAGCCCCCUGUGUGACGACGAGGCACAGAUUUGGAUUCUGGAAAUUCUACAGAACGCUGCCCGGGAUGCCCAGUCUGCCUACGAGAUCCUACGGGACUAUAGCCUUUUAACGUGGGUUUUACACAUCCUUGAGAGCAAGUUUCUGGAGACGCAGCUCCUGUCCAACAUAAUCUCCUUGCUGCACACACUGUGGGUGACCAACCUGGGGGACAAGGGAGUGGAGUCUGAGGGCCCGCCUCCUCCCAAGUCAGGGUCCCAGGAGCCCCCGAAGCUGCUCGCCCUGCAUCUGGUCAGCGAGUUCCUGUAUGUUCUCAUUGUGCUCACAAAGCACCUGAGGCCGACCUUGGCCCCCGCCCAGCUGACCGGCUUCUUUGGGGCGCUCGAGUCCGUGCUGAGGUACCGGGCCACCGUCGUGCAGGCCUUCAAGGACAUGAACCGCUUCACAGUGAACGAGACAGUGCUGUCCACCAAGGAUGUCCUCGUCCUCCUGCACAAGUGGAGCCUCAUCGAGAGAGAUGCCAAGCUCCAGGACGACCUGAGAGCAGCCAUUGAGCAAUACCAAGUCAAGGAGCUGCUGAAAAUGUGCAAGGAUAAGAACAAGCCCGCCGUGCCAGCCCGAGCUAAAGGCCCGCGGGGCCGAAAGAGGAGGCCUGGGGAGGAGGAGGAGACGGCCGACCCUGAGCCGCAGGCGUCCACCUUGGAGACGUGCAAGGGCCUCUUGAGGUCCAUACUGACCCACUGGGGGCCCGCGUUCCCCGGCCCUGACUGUGCUCGGGGCCCCGUGGACGGGGCUGCCCCUGAGAGCGAGGCCCCGGGCCUCGCGUGUGCCACCGCCUCCCUGGCGGCCGGCUGGGUGCUGCGGUCGGUGGCCGAGCACCCGCCCAGCAGGGCAGAGGCUUUGGGACUCCUUGGCUGGCUGAAGAGCCACAUCUUGCCACAGCCGGUGGUCGUGGCAGAGCUUCUCGGGGACCGUGCUGUGAGGAGUAGCAUCUUCAGGCUGUACAGCCAGUCCUGCAGCGCCGAGCAGCUGGCGGGCCCCGCGCAGAGCGUGGCCUGCCUCUUCAACACGGUCAUGCUGCAGCUGGCGGCCCAGGGCCCGGCGGGGGGCGCCUUCCACCCGGCGGUCGAGACCCUCUGCCUCUCGUCUCUGAAGGAGAAGGACGAAGCCACCCGAGCCACCGCAGUGUUCCUGGUAUCUCUGUACAUUAAGGACGUCUGGCUGGGGGCUCAGCGGCCAGACACCCUCCUAACCCACAUCCAGAUGAUCCGUGACGCCACAGAGGACGCGCCAAAGGGUGACGAGGAGGCUGUCGUCAUGCUCUGCAAGGACAUCGCCGCCUUGGUCCCCAACGCUUGAUGCCCUGCCCUCCGGUGCCUUCUGGCACCAGGUUCUAGAAGGUACCUCUUGGGGCUAUAAAUCUGCCCAAAUUUCACGUGAGUGGUAAAAACUGGAAGAAAAGGACGGAGGUCUGCAUUUGCUCAGAAGCUGGCCCGGCCUCUCCCCCCGUGACCAUAGGGAACCGGCAGUGACUUGAACAUGGAUGUGAUGAUGAGGGACAUGUCCGGGGGAUGGCAGAGCAAUGAGCUGGAAGGAAGCUGCUUUCUGAGGAUCUCAUGGACCAGACCCACCACGCUGUCCUGCAGACUUUUAGGUGAAAGAGAAAUUAACCUCGGCUUUGUCCGGUACUCCGUUAAUUAUAACCAGUUUUCCUUAUUGAGUCAGGAGAAGGAGCCAGCUUUUUAAAUGAGCAUAUCAAAACUUACAAAUCCAAAUGAAUGCUGACGUUCAAAAUAAUCAUCCUCUCUCUCUCAUAGAGUCAUACAAAUUUUUCUAAAAUACAUGUCUUGGGGCACCUGGGUGGCUCAGUGGGUUGAGCAACCGACUUCAGCUCAGGUCAUGAUCUCGCAGUUUGUGAGUUCAAGCCCCACGUCGGGCUCUGUGCUGACAGCUCAGAGCCUAGAGCCUACUUCAGAUUCUGUGUC